ACACUGACCUAUGGAAUCUAUUGC
rnacentral:siRNA from 1 species